ACUGCUUCCAAAAUUCAUGUCACAGCUGGAUCACUCUUCAGACCCGCUGAUACAGAUCUUCAAGAGCAAAUGAGGAGCGAAGGGACAAAGGAUCAAGAGUAUCCUGGCGAUCAAUGCAUCUGAGUGACAACAUCAACACCAAGAGGGAGCGCAUCCUGAGUAGCCUUGUCAUCUACCUCAGUGAAGAUCCUGACUCUUUCUUCAAGGAAUAUCUAGUCUCCGCUACUGAGGACAGAGAGAGGAUCACCACAACCUGGGGCUUUAGACGAUCCAAAGAGUUGGGGAUGAGGAGCCAGAGGAAGUGGGAAUUGUGACUGAAGGCAUUAAAGUCUUGAACAAACUAGGCAGUGUCAUCAUGGGAUUCAUCAUGCUGCUUGGGCUCAUUUAUGCCCUUGAUGUAAGCUUUCCAGAAAACCUCAGAUACACCUUCGAGGUUUUCCAGAAGAUCAUGGUGAAUUUGGAUGGGCUCUAGCCAAAUGUAAAGAUUCAGUAGCUGAAAACUGAGUGGUUUGCAUGAGAGGCGAACACCAGCUGACAAAGUUCAUUGUCAGGUUUCCUUAUCAGAUUUUUAGGAGUUGUCUUCUGUUUUUUCGCUUCAAUGCCUUCAUGGAUGUUUUCCUUGUUCUGAUGUUUUGACAGAAUUGAUUAAGCUGCACAUAGGCUGAAAUUUACUGAACUUUUAGGUCUGACUGCAAACCUCUGUUUAAAUAUAUGAUGAAUGUAUGAUAUGCAGCCAUGGGGAGUGGAGUGACUUACUGCGUUUACUCAUCCUAACUACGGUUGAGGAUGGGUUUAGGAUUGGGAUUCCAUGGGCCUGGAUUAGUGUUAGGAUUAGUAAGUCAUGGUAUGUCAUAACUUCUUCAGUUUUUCUCUUCCCUCCACCCUUCUCUAGCUGCUGACCCUUAUUGUCAAUUGGUGCAUCCAUUUUAUCCUACCUGUCGCCAAAUUGCAUGACUUUCAGCUGCGCUUCAAAUGGACUUAAUCACGAGUCAACACAUUGGUCAGAACUCUCUUCAUGGUGGAAGUCACAGUUUUACAGAUUGUUACCUUUAAAUAGCUAUGGGUAUCCACAACCGUAUUUCUUGGAAUUGAGAAUAUGUAUUACAGGGAAAGAUAGCUAUUCCGCUCUUGACAAACCAAAGUACACACAAACAUCCCCCAAAAGUGCCCCAAAGAACCACCCGAAACACGAAGAAGUGUAUAUUAUGCCCCAGAACAGUUGUGGAAUGUAUAAAAAACUUGUUGUAGAUGUGUGUCGUUACUAUGUCUCUUCAGAGGUCGAAAAUCUGAAAAAAGAAAGAGAGAGAGAACGUGCGUUAUAGCGGUACCUUUCAGUGAUUGAUAAAAAUCUUUGUCAUGGUUUUUAGCAGUAGCAUAUCUAUACAUGCCUUUGUGCCCGCCCCUCGUCCUCCUGUUUCUCCUUCGUUCACUCCUGGCCCCUUCGUUC